UUGGUUAUUACUACAUUGUCGGAACUAGAAGCACAAGCAUUUCGCUACACUCGCAUUAACAUCUGCUAACCAUGUGUAUGUGACAAAUAAAUUUGAUUUGAUUUGAGGAGAGGAGGAAGAGACUGGGAGGAAAGCAGAAAGUGGAGGAGGAAGAAGAGGAAGAGAGUGGGAGGAAAGCAGAGAGAGGAGGAGGAAGAGGAGGAAGAGAGUGCGAGGAAAGCAGAGAGAGGAGGAGGAAGAGGAGGAAGAGAGUGCGAGGAAAGCAGAGAGAGGAGGAGGAAGAGGAGGAAGAGAGUGGGGGGAAAGCAGAGAGAGGAGGAGGAAGAGGAGGAAGAUAGUGGGAGGAAAGCAGAGAGAGGAGGAGGAAGAGGAGGAAGAGAGUGCGAGGAAAUCAGAGAGAGGAGGAGGAAGAGGAGGAAGAGAGUGCGAGGAAAGCAGAGAGGAGGAGGAAGAGGAGGAAGAGAGUGCGAGGAAAGCAGAGAGAGGAGGAGGAAGAGGAGGAAGAGAGUGCGAGGAAAGCAGAGAGAGGAGGAGGAAGAGGAGGAAGAGAGUGCGAGGAAAGCAGAGAGAGGAGGAGGAAGAGGAGGAAGAGAGUGGGGGGAAAGCAGAGAGAGGAGGAGGAAGAGGAGGAAGAUAGUGGGAGGAAAUCAGAGAGAGGAGGAGGAAGAGGAGGAAGAGAGUGGGAGGAAAUCAGAGAGAGGAGGAGGAAGAGGAGGAAGAGAGUGGGAGGAAAGCAGAGAUAGGAGGAGGAAGAGGAGGGAGAGAGUGGGGAGAAAACAGGGAGAGGAGGAGGAAGAGGAGGAAGAGAGUGGGAGGAAAGCAGAGAGAGUAGGAGGAGGAAGAGAGUGGGAGGAAAGCAGAGAGAGGAGGAGGAAGAGAGCGGAUGGGAGGGAAAAUAAAUGGAGGUAUACACAACACAGAUGGAGCUGUUUGGAGGAAGAAGAACAGCAGAAACAAGAAGAAAUCCAGCGAGGGGGAGGAGGAUGGGUGCUGAGAAGAUGGAGGGAUGAAAGGAAAGAAAUGAUUAGGAUGAUAAAAGAAG
rnacentral:lncRNA from 1 species